GACGAACGCUGGCGGCGUGCUUAACACAUGCAAGUCGAACGGAAAGGCCCUGCUUGCAGGGUACUCGAGUGGCGAACGGGUGAGUAACACGAGGGUGAUCUGCCCUGCACUUCGGGAUAAGCCUGGGAAACUGGGUCUAAUACCGGAUAGGAGCCAUUUUUAGUGUGAUGGUUGGAAAGUUUUUUCGGUGUAGGAUGAGCUCGCGGCCUAUCAGCUUGUUGGUGGGGUAAUGGCCUACCAAGGCGGCGACGGGUAGCCGGCCUGAGAGGGUGGACGGCCACAUUGGGACUGAGAUACGGCCCAGACUCCUACGGGAGGCAGCAGGGGGGAAUAUUGCACAAUGGGCGCAAGCCUGAUGCAGCGACGCCGCGUGGGGGAUGACGGCCUUCGGGUUGUAAACUCCUUUCGCUAGGGACGAAGCUUUUUGUGACGGUACCUAGAGAAGAAGCACCGGCUAACUACGUG
rnacentral:rRNA from 1 species